rnacentral:rRNA from 1 species
AUCAACUUUCGAUGGUAGGAUAGAGGCCUACCAUGGUGGUAACGGGUAACGGGGUGUUAGGGCACGACACCGGAGAGGGAGCCUGAGAAACGGCUACCACAUCCAAGGAUGGCAGCAGGCGCGCAAAUUACCCAAUCCCGACACGGGGAGGUAGUGACAAUAAAUAACAAUACGGGGUUCUUUUGGAUCUCGUAAUUGGAAUGAGUACAAUUUAAAUCUCUUAACGAGGAACAAUUGGAGGGCAAGUCUGGUGCCAGCAGCCGCGGUAAUUCCAGCUCCAAUAGCGUAUAUUAAAGUUGUUGCAGUUAAAAAGCUCGUAGUUGAAUUUCAAGACCGGCUUAUUGGUCGUGCUUUUGUACGUACUGGUAUAAUCGGUUUCUCCUUUCUGACGAACUAUAAUGCCAUUAAUUUGGUGUUAUAGGGAAUCAGGACUGUUACUUUGAAAAAAUUAGAGUGUUUAAAGCAGGCUCACGCUUGAAUACAUUAGCAUGGAAUAACGGAAUAGGACGUUUGAUUCUAUUUUGUUGGUUUCUAGGAUCGACGUAAUGAUUAAUAGGGAUAGUUGGGGGCAUUAGUAUUCAAUUGUCAGAGGUGAAAUUCUUGGAUUUAUUGAAGACUAACUACUGCGAAAGCAUUUGCCAAGGAUGUCUUCAUUAAUCAAGAACGAAAGUUAGGGGAUCGAAGACGAUCAGAUACCGUCGUAGUCUUAACCAUAAACUAUGCCGACUAGGGAUCGGAUGAUGUUAAUUUUUUAAUGACUCAUUCGGCGCCUUACGGGAAACCAAAGUGUUUGGGUUC